AGAUCCGAACCGGUGAACCCCGGGCUGCUGAAGUGGAACGUGCAAACUUAACCGCUGCGCCACCAGGCUGGCCCCCAAAAUGUUCAUUUUUUGACUUGGUUACCCUAGUCCAAGAAUUUCAGAAUCUAGUAAGACGUAUCUACAGUGUUAUUUUUGAUGGUCUCCCCCAAACACAAGAGAAAUGCCUUAUGCCCCACAGAAGGAACAUUAAAUUCUGGAGUUUAUUAGACGGCAAACAUAUUUAACCACUGAAAAUUAUAAAUAUGAAGUGCCUGGCAACAUGGAUAAAAAUACAGCGAAAAGGAAAAACCCCCAAAUAGCACGGGUACCAUGAAUACAAUUUAAAUUUAUCUUAAUGUAUUGAUAAGGAAGGAAGUAUUUGAUUUGGUGCAAUGAGAGUAUUAUGCCAUUAAUACUUUUUUCUUCUUUUAUACUGACUUUCAUGAAUGUCACUAUAAUAUUUGUACAAAAAUAAAACAAAACCAGUUGAGUUAAUACAUCCAUGCUAUACCUGGUUUUGGAAUGAUUAUUGAUGUGGGCAAAAAUAUUGUCUGUUAUGUUGAACCCAGUGUACAGAGAGGGUGGUGAAAGCAAGUACAAGAGCUGAAAAUGAACGCUGGACUUCUGUACUUUCUUAAUUUUUAGCUAGGCUUUGAAUUGCCACGAUGAUGCCCUGAAAUAUCAGUGUGAACCACGUCAGAAUAUACUGCGAGAAGGCUGACGUGGUGUGUGUUCAUCUAGGUUGUCGGGGGUCCAUGUUCAACGAACUGUGUGGAUUGAUAGCAACACAAUGUUUUAUCCCCAAGAUUACGCAAAGUGGACUCGCACCAUAGACGUGAUGCACCCGAGGAAAGUGAGUGUGUUGUGAAGCCGUAUGAUCAUUCAGGGAGUGCACGGUCGGGUAGCUCAAACUGAACCAGCAGUCAAGUCUAGAUCCACCUUCACACUCAUGCUGACAAGGAGAGGCCCUGUGAGAUCAAGUCUUUUCCUGAGAAUCCAGAUAUAAUGAAAAACUAGAAUAUCCUAAAGUUACUAGAUUAAGGCAAAAUGCAGAAAUUAAAAUGUCUUUUGUCUGAUUGUGUUUCUACAAAUUCCCUGUUGAAUUAGUGAAUUGAGUAUCUUCACUAGUGAUAAUUAAGAAGUAUGAUAGGAAAUUUGUAGUUCCCUGUUAAAUUGAGUGGACUCACAGAUGAUGCUGUAGCUGGAAUCUUGUAGUUUUUAAAAACUUAAUUUUUUAAAAAAUUAUUUCUAGGAACGUAGGCCUCUCCUUAAAUUUGAGAGCGCUUUGAACUUUGAAUAGUCGAGAUCUUUCUUAGACUCUGUCUGGAAUGGGAAGACUUGGAUCAUUCAUCAUGGACGAUAUGUCAUUGACUUAGAAAGCCUUUUACCAAAUCUCAUGUAAAAACAGAAUUCUGCACUGUCACGUAGCAGCCUGCCUACUCCCUGUUCCGUAUCCCUUCCUGCAGCCAGCGAUAAGCUACUUACUGCGCCCUUGGACCUGGUCUUCAUUUAGUCCCUCAGUCAUUCAUUCUUAGGAAUCUGACUCUCUGCUAGACCCCAGGCACUGUCAGGUCCUGGAAUAUACUGAUAAACUAAGGCAGUCAAGGUUCCUGCUCUCCCGGAAGUAACGUUCUAGUGGGAGCAAGCAGAGAAUAGCAAGGAGGAUAACUCCAUUGUGGUGAGUGCUACCAAGAAAGGACGCAGGAUGGUGAGCUAGAGAAUGGGGUGGUUACGCUAGACUGUAUCUCCAGGGAGAGUUAAGACGCAUCUCGGGCCAUGUCGCAUUUCCUGACACCCCUAGGAGCAGCCCUGAGCCCAUCAGUAGACACAACUGAAAUGGUGAGUUAGAGGGUGAAGGAGAUUACAGUGGGAUGAGGAGGUGCUCAAAACCUAUUAGUCAGUUUGACCAAGAAACUUCUGAACUCCAACACGAUUGAGUCUACAGAGACAGUCUUUAGAAUGGCCCCACUUUGGUUCUAUUAAGUUUUAACAUCCAACUUUUAAAUAUAGCAUGUAGCAAAUGUAUUCACUUUUGGGUGAAACUUCUUUUCUGACUUAAGGCAGGUAUUUAUGCCUCUAUAAUUUCACAUUACAAAUGGUAUUUUUAUUUUGAUGAGCUGUGUUCCUUUCUUCCUGCAUUCAUUCAUUCAGCCAAUAUUUAUUGAGAACCUACUAGGUCCUGGAGACGCUGAGGUGAACAAAAUAACAGUAAUCUCUGCUCCCAUGUGGGUGUGUGCUGGUUAUGCCACUCCCAGUCCUCUUCCUUUUCCUUCUGACUUUAUACGAAUAUACUGCUACCACCACCGCUUACCAUGACACCAUGUCUGGAAGACGCUGUUUGUGUGGUGUAAAUAGAUCUAUUUUGUGUUCUGCUGCUCUUUCCCCUUAAACAUUGUUAUUGUCAGUGGUUUUUAUUCUUUGGGAUGUGGGUAGUUUAAAUUUUAUUAGGGUAAUUUUGGUGUGUUAGGUACUCUUUUGGCCGUCAGAGUGCUUUUCUUUGUUUAGGAGCAUAUAGAACUCCUGGUCCCUGACUGAUUUUGCAGUCACAACAUAGCUGGAGUGAAGAUCCAGCUUGAAGCGUUGUGAGAUAAAUCAUUUCCACAUUCUUGCUUAAGUGGCCAUUUUAGUGUAGAGAAGCACAUUUUCUGUCGAAAGCCAACGCGAGUGUCUCCUUGACCCAAGGUCUCAACAGUUUUUGAGCAACACAGGUAUGAUGGUUUAGAAAGAGCUCCAUAGAUAAAGCCUGCAGAGUUAAAAUUUUUCCCUUUGAAGACACGGAAAAAGCAUUCAUUUGAAACAGUAUAAUUCGCAUAUAUCAAUAAUGAAGAGAGGGUCUGUUUUCGUUUCUUAUUUACUGGCACGCCAAAAUACCUGUGUCCCCGGGACUAAGCAUUCGCUCAGCAAGGGCUCAACUUCUCCAGACGGAUUUCUGGGUCCUUAUGAACAUUUUCAUCUCAAGACAGUGAAUCAGAUCUGUAGAUUUUGUUUCUUUUUUAAUGCUUUUUAUAACAAACAAAAACUCUGUCUCCUUUCACGUGUAAACAUUGAUGGCUGCCAUCUGCGUGAACGCAGAGCCCGUGAAGACCAAGUUACGGCUCGCUCCCGGCGUUGUCUGUGGGGAGCAUGAACUCUCUUUGGUAGCAGACCAAAGCAGAGGGGCAGCCCCACCUCGUCAUCUGCCCUGGGGAGCUGUGGGUUUGUCUAGGAGAGAGCCACUCCCCAGGCGCCUUGGGUGUGAAAAGUCCAUUUUUGAGGAACAAACAUCAAAACAAAGCCCUCACAGCUGUGUACCUUCUACCUCCGAGACCAGGAUCCAAAGUCCAUCUAGAAACGGCUUAGCUGCCCCCAGAGCCAGGGGCGGCUGAGCACAGGGGGUGGGCCCUGAGGUUUUCACAAGCCACGUCCUCUCCAGAAGGAGCCGGGCUUGGGAGGCAGAUGCCCGCAGCCGGUCCCUUUAGGAGGGGACCUGAGCCGGGAGCUCUCCAGAGGUGGAGCCACGUGCCUGUCCAGUCUGACUGUGACCUGGGCUCCCGGGAAGCUCGGUUGACUUUCGGGAGGUCCGAGGGGUGGUGGCCACACUGAUGUGAAUAUUUGGCUGGCUGUCAAAUGUUGGGCAAGUGCCCUGCCCCCAGGUUUUAAAGGACAGAUGUUUGAAAUGAGCUGUUGAUAAUUUGAAAAGAAUUUCUGUGCUAACUUAUUUUUAUAUAGAGUGGCGUAUGAAGCCUUGUACGUAACCUUUUUCCUUUUGAGAAUUAUCAGAACAGUGUAUCAACAUUAUAAAAAGUUAAGGAAAAAGAGGGGGAAAAAUCACCCUUAAUCCUGCCUUCCGUUUUUCUUACAUGAAGAUAAUAUUUGAACAUGGUUGCAAUCAUAAUGCAUAUCUAAUUUGUAUUCUACUUUUUCAUUUAACGUUGUCUUCAUUUUUUCCAUAUUUUGACAGUCUUCGUAAUUCAUCUUUAAUGACUGUGUAAGUUUUCCUUAGGAAGAUGUCCCAUAAUUAACAUUUUUCCUAUUAUUGGGCAUUUAGGUUGAUUCAGAUUUUGUGGUGAACAUCUUUUUUCCUUUGGAUCAUUUCUUAAGAUCAGUUUCCAGCAAGAGGAUUGCUGCGUCAAAGGGAAUAGACAUUUUUAUGACUCCUGAUCCACACUGUUAAAUUGCUUUACAAAAGGUUUGACCUUUUUCUUUGCACAACUUUAAAGGUGAAUCAUCAGCCAUGAGCCAUUGCUUACAUUUUUGGACAGUUAAUUAUUAUUCCCAUAUUAGGCAGGGAGAGCAGCUCUGUGUACAUCUGAAUUUCUUCUAAUUGCUUUCAUUACAUAGAGCUGACUUGUUGCGAAAAAUGUCCUGGCUGUGAGACGUUCCAGACAACAGAGCCAUCACUUUUGAAAAGUCUGGACCAAUCCCAAUUUUGUAAUCAGUUCCCAGAGUUGUUCGUAUUUCUUUUGGCAGAGAUGUCUGUCUCUGUGGUCGAGCACAGCUGAAGGGUUGAAGUCACAGGGCGAGCUGAUCAAGGUGCCUAUUUUAGCAUUAGGUUGGCAGCCUGUGGCCAGGUGUCUGGGUAUUUUGAGAGAAGUAAUUUUGAAAAGUAAUUUGCAAUUCAUACUGUGAAUAGCAGCCGAAAAGUCAUAUGCAGGGCUUCUGUGGAAAUUCAUUCUCUCUCCCUCCCUCCCUCCCUCUCUCUCUCUCUCUCUCUCUCUCUCUCUCUCUCUCCUCUUUAUGAGUUGGAGGAUAGUCAUUAGGUUUUGGUGAAAACAUACGGACUGCAGGCAAUCAGGAUGUGUCCGUCCUGGCGGCAUGUGCCACAGUGCCUUUGCUGUGCAGCAAAUUUCUUGUGCUGGGUUUCCCCCUCUGACGAGCAAGGGUGUUGGAAACAGGAGUCCCAAAGUCCCUAAAAGUUUUUAGGUUCUCUGUCCUGUGGAUGACUCCAACUGUGUCUUCGUUUUUGCAGCCAAAGAUGUAAUUUCCCUAUUCACUGCUGCUUCUGUCAGGCAACAAUGGAAAAGAACAGGAUGUGAAACACAGGCCAAUGUUUACAGUUUGACAUUUCCACCAAAGGAUUUCAUGGCGUCUAUCAUCAGAACGAAUGGCUAGAACUAUUUUAACUACCUGUGGCUUGGAUUUACUUAGGCCAUCCCUUCUCCUCAUUAAUAUGUUAAACAUAAAACCAAGAAAAGAAAACAGCAUUUGCUCUUGUCCAGCGGGUUCAGAGGAAGUUGAUCCAACGUGUGGAACUGGUCUUGAACUGACUGACCAUUACUUUAUUUGCUGACUGUAAAAAUUCUAGCAUAAAAACUAGCAUUCUCAGCAGCAACAUCUUCAAACAUGAAGGCCAACAGUAUUUUAUUUAGCAUAGCAUUUUGAAAGUCCAAAGGCGAUUGGGUAAGACUUAGGCCAUUCAGGGGAGGAGUAAAGGAUGAACAUGGGGUGGCCGUCACUUUGUUAGCUGUGUUAUUUCUCAUUUAGCCAGUUAUGAGAGUAGCUAUGCUCGUCUUCCCCUGUGAAGGCACCGAGUCAGAAGAGAGCUUUCGUCAGGAAGCUAUGUGGUCACUUUCCUGCACAUCGUGGGAGCUGCCCUUGGGGGGUUUUCUGUUGACCACUAAGGUCACGCUGGCUGAGCCUGAGCAGCGUACUUCACCUGUCUGUCUCUGUCCUGGUGAGAGGCUUGAGGCGUAGAUUAGAGCUCAUACACUGACAGCACAGCUGCCUUCGUGCAAGUGAGUGAGGAUGCGUAUUUAGCGAGGAGCCCAGUCUCCAGGCUGUCCCCAGGGAGUAGCUGCAGGAGGGCGCCGGAUCCCAGGCCUGGAGGGCUGAGACUGCUGGAAGUGGGUUUCAGCGCCAUAAAGCCAUUCACAUUCUUUCAUCAAAUUCAGCAUGGGUUUUUUUUUUUUUUUUUUUUUUUUGAGUGCCUGUUAUGAGGCAGGCGCUGUUUCAGGUAUCAGGGGUACUCCUGUGAACAAAGCAGCGCCCCCCCACCCCCACCCCACCCCCCACCUGCUGGGGAGACAGACAGUAAAUAAGUAAACAAACAUGGUUUAUCAGAUGGAGAUAAGUGCCCUGGAGAAAACACAGUAUGUGGAGACCAAGAGUGACACGGGGUGGGAGGGGCGCUGUUUUCGGUAGGGCUUUCAGGUCACAUGAGGUCAGAUCAGCCUCUCAUCAGAAGACACUGCAGCGUGUAAGAAGCAAGCAGGGAAGCUCUGAGCUUGUGAUGUGAAUAUUGGGGCAAAGGCAUCCCAGAAUGAGAGAACAGCAUGAACAAAGGCCCUGAGGCAGCAGCAUGCUUGGUAUGCUCCACCAAAGAGGCCAGUGUUGUGGCCGGAGUGGAGUGAACAGGGAAGAGAAUGGAAUAGGGACUGAGACCAGAGAGGUGGGUGGGGCGGCCUUGUAAAUUAAGACAGGGCCAUUCUUGGCCCUUUAUUUUGAGUAAGAUGGGAAGCCAUAGAGAUUUUUGAGCACAGGUGUGGCAUCACCUGACUCUGUUGGAGCUUUACAGUGUGCUGUGGAGUCGGGGGCGGGGGGGCGGGUAGUGUGGAUGGGAAGGAGAUCACCCAGAGCUGUGCUUUCCAAUAUGGUAGCCACUAGCCACAGGUGGCUAUUUUUAAGUAAAUUAAUUAAAAAUUAAAAAUUCAUAUCCACAAUGGCACCACCCACGUGUCGAGUGCUCUCACAUAGUCACAUGUAGCUACUGGCUACCGUAUUGGACAGUGAGAUACAAAUCAUUUCCAUCGUCACAGGAAGUCCUGUGCACAGUGCGGAUGGCGUCUUGCAGUCUUUGUAGGGACUUGGGCUUUCACUCUGGGUAAAUGGAAAACCUUCGGAAGGUUUUAAGCAGAGGAGGAAGAUGCUCUGGGUUCUGAUUUCAAAAGUCCGCUGGGGCUGCUGUGUUGAGAACAGACUGUAGGGAGGCAAGGGUCUAGAUAAGAGACCACGAAGGGUCUAGAUAAGAGAUGGUCGUGUCUUGGAUGAGGUGCUAGUGGAGGUGAUGGUGACAAAUGGUCGGACUUUGAAGGUAUUUUGAAGGCAGAACCAACAGGCUUUCCUGUUAGAACAGAUGUAUGAUUUGAGAAGAAAGUGAUACAAGCGUUGGCGGUGAUGACCAGGGGAGAGAAGGCAAAGCACGGGGAGGGACUGGACACGUGGAGGAGGCCGGCCCAUCGUGAACCGGGAGGGAAGGCAGGCCUGUGGCUGGAGGAAGGAGACCGAGAGCCCUCCUCUGAGCGAGAGGAGAUGAGGAGGUCGAGGGAGCCACAGGGAUGUUGGAAGUUCAAGGACGGUGGGGAAGGUUCCCAGUCCUUGUUGGAAAGCAAGUUGGACAGAGAAACAUAACACAGUUGUCUGACGUGUUGAGGGCCCAUCUGAAGUGGGCGACCAGGAACCCCUCUACCCUCUUGAUCUCCAGCACAGCGUGACUGCUCAUACGCAAGUAAGGGGGGAGGAGAGGGCCAGGUUCAUCGAGGGCUGAUGUUUUUCUACGUAGAUUUGCAGGAAAUACAGAAGGCAAGGGAGUCAAGAGAUUGGCAAGAAGGAUAUUACAACAGAUCACGGACUCUAAAUUGAAAAAGGAGGAAAGUGAGAAAAGCAGAGCGCCGGGGAACUGGGAGAGCGGAGGGAUCAACAGACUGGAGGCUCCAAGCUUUCCGAGAACAGGUGGAGUUGUUGGUCAUGCAAGUUCGAUGGAGAGAUGCUCAUGGAAGAGCUGCCUGCUGGGGUCGGUAAUUCCCCGGGUGGGGCUGACUUAGGUGACGACAAGGUCAGCCUUUGAAUCUAUGCGGAUUUGUCUUCAGUACAGGCUGGCUUGCUAACUCCCGGAAUUCCAUAUAAUCUCAUGGUGGAUCUCAUCUAAGCAGGUUUGGUAACCAAAAGCCCAAGAGCUCGGGAUUGGGAGCCUAGAGACCCACCCACAGUUCCGGGCCUGUCGCACACUGGCUGCGGAACUACGGACAUUGAGGAGCUGAACUUUGCGGUCCCUUCCAUCUCCAGUCAUCUGAGUGGGUGUGACAGCAGCAGCAUCUGAGGCUGGGUGUCCUUAAGGUCCUGGGCUGACUGGACUUUCUGCAACUCUCUCCGCCUAACAAGCAUUUUCCUCUUUUAGUUUUGUGAGCGCUGUGUAGGAGAGCUCCUUCAGCAGAAACGAUAGAGGCUGUUGCUUUCAGAAUCCAAUGCGGUAUUGUGACCGGUAAAUUCCUAUGAACCUCUGAACGUUUUAUUGACAUUUAUUCGGGAGAGAUUCCAGGAGGCAGAACUCGUGCCCUCCACCCCCACCCACCCCGCUCCCCCGCCAUCCCCUCAUCGCUCUUCCCUCUCUAGGACAGAAAGAAUUAAGAACAAUCUAAGGUAAAUUUUUAACAAGAUGGUUUAGCUUGGGCCUUGUAGGUUUGCCUGAUGAAGUCAGUGGUAGCUUUUAGCUAAAAUAACCACACUGUUUGCACAAGCUGUCUGGGGUCAUUAGAAUGAUCGGACUGACUUACCUGCUGUUUGAACGGGUUGAGCCUCCGGAGGGACAGAAAACAAAAGGAGGGUGUUGAAAUGCAAACAGACAGCUCUUGGUUCCCGUUCCCGGCUGCAAAAUAAAGCUGAAGCUGACGUCAGCAUCUCCUUGGAGGCCUGUGGAAAAGCUCUGGGCAAACCUCGCAGGGCGCGUGUCUCCUCGUGGACUGGAGUCCAAGAUAAUCCUUACAAAACAUCUAUUCAUUCUACAAGGGAAAAUUUCGGGAGUGCUGGAUACUGACCUUGGCAAGAUGAAUGGACCCACACUGAGCAAUGGGUUUGUGUGCGUUGCGGCCGACGUGCGUUCUGGCGCUUUGUCUGCCAGGUUAAGAAUAUUUUAGUAAUAGGAAAGGAGGAUUUAUGGCAUUUUAAUUAACACAAUGAAAGCUUAAACUUGCAGAUAAAACUAUUAGAUACAUUAUUUUCAGAGCUUAUUUUUUAAGACAAACUUGAUUUUGUUGCUUCAAGAAAGGACCUGCUGAUAAUUAAUGGUAACUUUCUUUUCUAUUUCAAUGUGACCACUUUAAUUGAUAUGCAAACAAUUACUUUUUAAGGGAAAUAAGGAGGCAGUGCAGCCUAGCGAAAAGGACACACUGUAUCAGAUUCUUCAUUGCUUAAUUAAAUUUGAGCUCUUAUUUGAUUUCUGCUAUGAACUGGCUGUGUGACUUUAGGUGCUUAUGAACUCUUCAAUUCGUUAAUGGAAAGAAAUGCCAUUUACACCGGAUGGCUACAUAGCGACCUUAUUCUGGGUUUUGUAGCUGGAUGUUAAGUUCUCCCGUUGUACGACAAGACCAUCACAAACACAAAGAUCAAUAGUCCACGGCCUCUCCAAAUCGUAGCUCUUUGCCAGGCGUGCAUGGGUCCUUGUCCUUGGGUGGAAUUCAGGGGUUUUGUGAACUCGGAUGGAGAAAAGACUACGUUUUCAGUAACCUCCAAGUGCAGGGUCGGUUUCCUUCAGAGGUGGAUGGCAGUGGGAAACCACAGCGGGGUUCGCUGUACCUGUGACCGUCACCAGGAAAUCACACGUAUUUUCAUAUCGUAUUACAGCUGUUUGCAGCUCUCUUGAAAUAUGGUGCAUACGUAUCACUACUUUGAAAUACUGGGAAUUAUUUGCCCUACCACUACAUCUUGUCAUUUAAGACAUCACUAAAAAGGCACGUGUGUCGUUACGUCAAACGUAUGUUUUAAUGGUUUGAAAACUGUACUUCACGACGUUUUCUGCACAUGCCUGUGUGUUUUACCUUGUUCUGAGAAGGCUUCACAAGGCUGCCAGGGGGCAUUCAAGGUACAAAGAAAGGUUCAGAGCCCUUUUGGGUGUCCGGUCUCAUGGGGGAGACAGGAAGCCUAAACGGUGAAAAUCAGUAGGCUAGAAACACUCCCAGGAGCUACAGGAACCCAUGCGGGGGAUCCAGCCCAGCUUCAGGGCGCCUUCUGGAGAUUCCUGAGCUGCCUCUGGAAAGAAGAGUGGAGAGGAGGAGAAAGAAGCAGGCGGUCAUCUCCAGGGAGGGAACAGAACAGUGCUGGGGUGAGACCCCCAGGCCCCUGUGGAAAUGAGGAGUACUGACUGUUAAGUGCUUGCUUCCUGUGCUGAGUCCUGUUGACUCAGGUGGUGGGUAAGCUCACUUUUUCGAACAAUUUUUAUGGGGCCAGGGUGGACAGGGUUAAACUUCCUUGAAAAAAUUCAAUGGUAUAGUAGAAUUUUGGAAAACAGCUUUAUUGAGGUGUAAAUUCAUGUACAAUAAGUGCACACAUGUGGUAAGUUUUGACAUAUGUGUGCCCUGAGCAAACAUCACAGGUAAUGAAUGAGGAUACGAACAUUUCUAUCACCCCUCCCCCAAAGUUCCCUGGGGCCCCCACGCCUCAGCCCCAGCAACUGCUCAUCUCCUGUCUGUCACAAUGCAUCAUCCGCUUCUCUAGAAUUUCGUGUGAACGCCAUCAUGCGCCCUGUACUCUUUUUGGCUUCUUUCCGCCAAAGCGCUUGGGAUUCCUCCAUUCUGUUGAAAAUCCAGAGUUCAUUCCUUUUUAUUGCCCAGUAGUCUUUAUUAUGGAAUCGUGCACUUUGAAAAGGGGGGAAAAAAAAUAAACCCUUGUUUUCAUAAUACAAAAUUUAAGGAGGGAGGGAGAUUCCCAGUGCUUAUCAAAUGGGAAUCUGGGUUAGAUGUGGAGAAAUGCUGCUCUGGAGUGUGGUCAGGGCGCAUUCCAGCCCCAGGUUUUCUUCUUCCGUCGAGGCCAAGUCUGGGUGCGUUUGGAAAUCUUCUCGACCUGAAGGCAGGCAGCUCCUCGGGACGCCCGGACAGCGCUGCGGCCACAGGCCCCUCUGCUGAGAAGAUUUGUGAAGCCUCUGCCUAAGGAAGUGUUCCAGAAGCGUUCUCUGUGUCAUCUGUUUCCCUCACAACCUCCCCGUUUGGUAGAUAAGGGGCAAGAGUUAUUUUCCAUGUUGCAUAAAUAGGAAAUGAGGUACGACGAGUCUGAGGGAAUUAUUACUCAAGAGAGCAGUGGGUCACGUGACAUGGAGGACCGCACACGGCCUCGCUCAUCCCCAACCCCAGCCUCGCUGGUCGGCUGGGCUCACAGUUUUAAAGAAAAAUACAAUAAAUCCACUUUCACUCUUGUUCUUGUGUGGGUUGUGAUAGAACCUUCAGACUAGAGGAGGUAAGGGUUUUCUUGUCAAAACUUGCCCUUUCCACUUGGUAAACGCCAGCAUCUGUGCUGACUUCAUUCAGUUGAAUUCAACCACCGAGCAGACAGGACAAAAGGACCAAAUGAGAAUUAAAUGAAUUUUGGUGUUUCUUACCCUCUUUUGGGUCCAGAAAAUGUAUGAAAUACAGAAGAUCAAAAGGAAGAAAAUAAAAAUCCAGGAUAACCCUCCCACCCAGAGAUGACCUCUUUUGGGUCACGGAAGAUUUGAGAAUCUGGUGAAAGUUAUAGCUCCUCUCUCCCAGAAGAAUGCGCAUAUGAGCACGUACACACACAGUUUUGCAAUGAUUUCAGAGUGUUUAGAAACGUCCCUCUGCCACCCACCCCUGCAUCUUGGCCUCAGGAAUGACCUCAGGGUGAGUAUUUUGGCAUGAAAUGAAAUAACAGUGCCUUCAAGGAAGCACCCAGCCGUGGUCGCUGACCAGAAAGAGAGAUUAAAGAUAAGAUCCAGGUGGGUUCGGGGGGCCGGUGGACUGGUGGGAUGGGUGGUGUUUUGAUAGACAGGCCUGCCUCAUUGGGGGUGGGGUGUCAGCAUCUGGAAGAAGGUAUUCCCGGCAGAGGGAAUCGUCUGAGACAGGACGGAGAGUGGGGCGUAGAAAGCAAGCAAUCCCACAAGCCCAGUUUGGCUGGAGGAAGCCUGUGUGAGCAGGAAUCAUCAGAAACAACCCUGGAAAGAUAGGGUGGGUCCCAUCGUGAGGGACAGCGAAAACAAGGUGAGUACUCCUUUCCCCCCCCAGUAAAAUGUUCCAUAAUUCCUUUCAUUUAUUUAUUUUUUCAAGCAAGGGUUUUGGGGUGCGUAUAUGUGAAUAAUACGUAUUUAUUGCGAUAAAUUAAGGAAGUUACAAAAAUCAGGAAUUCUCCUAUAACACAGUCUGAUCUCUAGUAAUAGUUGGUACGUUUCGUCCGCGUUUCGUCGAACGUUUGCAUCACACUCCCAACUCUGACCCACCACAACUCACGGACCUCUUCUCUGUUUGUGUUCUUCCUGUUUAUUUAAGGCUCAACGGGCAUUUUAUACAAAUAUUCUUCUUAAUUUUUAGGAGAUGAGUUCUUUCCUUAGCAUAGUAGGAUCGUGGAGGAGGAACUGUUGGUCAAUGUGUAGGAACUUCUUUAGGAGACGGAGUAGCUUGUGCUCAUCAGCAGCUUUCUGAUGGGGCGUCGACCUGCUAGCUUAUUUUCUUCCGUUAAUUUUACUUAUUACAGUCCUCCUUCGUCUGCUCCUUAGCCUGUUUCUCAAAUACUGGUACACCCCAGAGCCCACCCCUGCUGGGCCUUUUCUCACCGAAUACCUGCUCUUCCCGGUUCUCAUUCACAAUAAGCCAGCGGAGCUGAAUGCCUGCCAUGUACCAAGCACUGUGUUUAAUGUUAUCACGUGUAAUUUCGCCACAACCCUGUCAUGUAAUGGUUAAUAUCUUCCUUUCCCAGAUCUGGAGACUCAGAGAGGAAAGUCACUUUCCCAAGGGCACAGCCCAGAGGCUCCCAGGGCAUGCCUCUGCCGUCGCCCCACGCCUGCAUCUUCAGCUCCCUUCUCUGCAGAGCAGCACAUCCAUGACCCUGUGAACCUUUCCAUUUGGGCUUUCCAUAGACGCCCAAACUCAAUAUGUCAAAACUCAGCUAUCAGCUCUUACCCCCAAGCCUCUCCCGCAUGACAUUAGCAGCUACUCCACCAAGCGCAGGACUUGGGGACAAGUGGAUGUGGCUUUGGGACCUGGUUUCUCCAAUCACCAGCUCUGAGACUUCAGGCAGGUCACGUAACUGGCCUAGAUAUCACUUUUCCCAUCUCCACAGAGCGGUCCGGGGUUUACACGUGAUCAGGUAUGUGAAUGCACGGAGCCCCUUGUCUCUCUGAGACGGCCUCCCUGGUCUAUUUCAUGAUCCUGCGUAUAUCCUCCAUACCAACCCGAAAUCACCUCCUUUGGUUCUCCUGCUUGGAACACGUGCUCCUCAGGGCAGGGGCUCGGCCUGUUUUUCUUCGCUGUUCUGUCCCCAGCAGCACUUAGCACAGUCCCUGCAAACAGUAGAGACUGAAGAAAUAUUUGGUCGUCUCCCUCCUUCCUCAUCUACUUGUCUCCUACUUUUCCUAGAGCUGUGGUUGGCAAAGCCACUCGGGUCAAAUCCGGCUGUCACCUGUUUUUAUACAGCUUGUGGACUAAGAAUGAUGUUGACAUUUUUAAACAGUUGAAAAAAUUAAAAGAAGAAGAAGAAGUCAUGAUAUGUGCAAAGGAUACAAGCUUCACAUUUAUUUUUUAUUUUUUUGGAGGAAGAUUAGCCCUGAGCUAACAUCCGUGCCCAUCUUCCUCUACUUUAUAUGUGGGUCGCCUUCCACAGCAUGGCGUGCCAAGCAGUGCCGUGUCCACACCCGGGAUCUGAACCGGCGGACCCCAGGCCACCGAAACCGAACGUGCACACUUAAUUGCUGCGCCACCAGGCCGGCCCCCAAGCUUCACAUUUCUGUGUACAAAUAUCAAGUUUUAUCAGAACGCAUCCGUUCAUUUACAUAUUUUCUUCAGCUGCUUUCAAACUACACUGCGGAGUUGAGUUGUUGAGAUAGAGUCCGUAUGGUUGGCAAAGCCCAAAAUGUUUACUAUCUGGCUCUUUACACAAAAAGUUUGCCCAGCCCUGUCCUAAAGGAUGAGCAGAAGUUGCUUGAAUCCCGACAGCCUCUCUGCCUCCUUACCCUUAAUUAUUCACAUGUGCAUGUUUAACUCCUUCAUUCAAACAUUUACCUGUUCCACAAAUACUUAUUGAGCGCCCCACUUCUCCUACCAAAUGGGUGAUGGGGCUCAGCUCUGACUGUCCCCCGUAGCUGGUGGAGAUGUGUCCAGAGCCCUGGGGGGAUGUGGCCCCACUGGUGGUGACUGAAUUUGUGUUAGUCCAUCAGCGCUGUACCUCUCUGUUAAGCUGGCGUACGGUGGCUGUUGAACAGGAGGGAGCCGUGUGCAUCUUGCGGGGCUGGAAUCUGAGCCUCUGGCAUGGGCAGUGUUGACACGAGUAGGCGGUCCUCCUAAAUGAAUCCUGUUCUUCCGUCAGUAGUUUCCAACCCUUCGCCGCUUGGGACUCCCCUCUUUCUCUGCUGAGCUCAAAAGCUCUGGUCUCUGCGUUCGCAUGUCUGUCUCCCCCGCCUCACAUUGUAAAUACAUCUAAAACAUCCGCAGACGGCCUUUUUCCUCUCCCGUGGUUUCCAUUUCCUGUCCUCUGUCCCAGCUGGUGAAACGACGUUAGCUAAGGAGGAGGCGCAGAGGAGUGAGAAGAAAUAGCAGUAACAGUCAUUAAGCGCCCGGCCCCAGCCUUCCCAGGGCUUUGACGCGCGUUGUCACUUUUAACCUUUUCAUGGGGAUCUUUUCUUUAAGAGGCGGGUGCAUGUAUUGUUCUCCCACUUGACAGACGAAAAAACUGAGGCUCGGAGAGGUGAAGCCACUUGCCCAAGGUGACAUCACUGUAAAGUGGUGGAGUCUGAAUUUGAACACAGGCUCAAGCUCUUACGGACCAUGGUGACAGACCAAGCGUGUCGGCAUAUUCUAUGACAGGAAAGCUGCUUGGGCAGAAAAUGUGGGUCCUUUUUUUGUAACGGCGUUUUUGGUAACUCCCUUGGGUACGUUCCGGAGAGAAAGUGGGUAGUCACCGUCAGACAUGUGCCCUUCAUCUCAGACGAAUCGUCUUCUGCUCAAGGGACUUGAAAAUCCUGACAGGCCACAAACUAGACAAGGGAUAAAAAGACGGACAGGUGUGCUCUUGGCUGGCGUGGGGAUAGCAUUCCUCUAUAGAAUUCAAACAUCUUGACAACCCAGGAUGUUUCUGGACUCAACCAAUAACUGUCCAUGAUAUCAGGGGCCGUACAUCGAGCAGAAACGACGAGGCCAGCCGUGCCUGGGGUGUCUGUGGAAUGUUAAUCACGCUCCCGUCAAAAAGGAGUGGCCACAGAAGAGAGGGGCACGUGGAAUUCCACCAAGUGAGGCAGGAUUCUGGACUGCAGGCCUCAGAGACGCUCCUCGAGGGAGGAGGCUGCACAGCAGUGACCUGGGCCACGUGCCCAUGACCACCGUGUGGGCGGCCGCUCCAGGGACCUCGUGUGGGUAAUGGUGCCUUCAGCCUUGCAUUCUCCCCUUCCAUUUCAGUUGAAGUUCCCAACACUUCAGCGACUGCAGAAAAGUCUGUGUCUUCUGUCAACUCACCAGGCCUUCUAGGCUGGGAAGGGAAAAGAACGACACCACGUUUCCAGACUCUGGAAGGUCUUCCUUAGGAAAGGAUGUCAAAAUUAAUAAUGCAAAGUUACGUUGGUGUUUUUCUGAGAGGCUUUCGGUUAUCGAACUGCUACCUCUCAGGAAAAAUCAAAGUAAAUUGGGAUCAUAUAAACUUUCCUCACGUGUUAAUAUCUCGUAUGUUUUAGUUUGCUUGAUCCUUUGUAUAUUGCUCAAAUGUGGAGUGAGACCUCGGAAUAUAAAGCAUGCUGCAUCUAAAGUUUCAAAUGAUAUAUGCAGGACACACUCAGGUGACUAAGCGGUGGAAAUUGUCGCCUCGGACUCCGGUGAAGUCAAUAUGGGAAUAUGUGGAAUUUACUUGGAGUUUUCAGGAAAUAAGGUAUCAUUGUUAGGAUGGUUUCCUGUCAUAAAAAAUUCUCUAGUUUGGUUUUAAAAUAGCAGCCUUAGAUGUUGUUUUUGACUCAGAAAUCUAUAGGAAAUCUAAAAUCGUAUGUUUUUUUUUCUUUUCCUUUUUUGGUGAAAGAAGUUUCCAUGUUUUCCACAGGCAAAGGAUGACAUAUUUUUAUUCCCGGUAAUGCACAGAUGAUGCAUGUAUUUACCACAUGCCAAUGUGAAGGUGGCCCAACUUUAAAAGCUGGGAAAACUCCAUUGAUUUCGAUGAUGGGUUAUGUGGACAGAAAACCUUCCUUCAGACUCAGCCAUGUCCGCAACUCCCAGUCCUGGGGGCUGGUCACCCCAGCAGCCUUCAGGUUAUAGUCUGUGGCCGUCAGACUGUUUUGGACCCCCCAGCUUCUUUGGCUUGCACCUUGUUACAGGCUUGCAGCUAAGAGCGGAGCUAAACCAUUUCUAGACAGACCGAGCAAGGACUUAUUUUUAUUAAGUAGAAGUGUUUUGUUCUUACUUCCUUUACAUAAAGUAUCGGGAAAAUAAAUACUUUGCAAAAGUCUUUUCGGUGAGAUUAACGAAGUCAAAUCUUGAAGAUUCAAAACCUACUCAGAGAGUUCUUUAAAAAAAAAAAAAAAGCGCCAGCUGGGGAGGAAAUGCUGCUUUUCGUGGCAAGAGGAGCAAGAGGCGGCUGCUUUGGGAAGGGGGGCAGCUGGUGCUGAUGCUCUCCAGGAGCUCUCAGUCAUGAGACCGUGUUCUCAGGGUCUCCCAACCCCGUUGCCUUCUCUGACCCUUUAAAAAAGAUUGUGUACAAAAUAUAUGAUGAAAUUCACCAAUGUAACCAUUUUGAACUGUACAAUUCAGUGGCAUUUAGUACAUUCACAACAUUGUGCAAACAUUUCCGUGAUUUAAUUCCAGAGCAUUUUCAUCACCCCGAAAGGAAACUCUGUUACCUGUUAAGCAGUCACUCCCCAUUCUUUCCUUCCCACAGCCCAUGCUUUCAUUUCUGUGGAUUUACCUCUUCUGGACAUUUCAUACAGAUGGAAUCACACAGGUGACCUUUUGUGUCUGGCAUCUUUCACUUAGCAUGAUGUUUUCAAGGUUCCUCCACAUUGUAGCAUGUGUAAGUAUUUCAUUCCUUUUUAUGGCUGAAUGAUAUUCCACUGUACAGAUAUGCUAUCUUUCAUUUGUCCAUUCAACCAUUAAUGGACAUUUGGGUCAUUUCCACCUUUUGGCUAUUGUAAAUAAUGCUAUGAAUGUUCAUGUACAAGUUAUUAAUGAGAAACUGUUUUUAAUUCUUUUUUUUUCCUUUGAGGAAGAUUAGCCCUGAGCUAAUAUCUGCUGCCAAUCCUCCUCUUUGUGCUGAGGAAGACUAGCCCUGA